AUGUUAGACAAAUAUACAUUAUCUGAACAAACCAAAUUAUAUAUUUAUUGAAUUCACCAUGCACUUAUUCAGUAUUUAUAGAUUUAUUAUUCUGAUGAUGGCAUUCAUGUUUUGUUUAUGUAGCCUAGUAAGAAAAUAUUGAAAGAUUAAAGCAUUCAUAAUAGCAAGGACAAAAUAGCACAUAUAUCUUAAAUAAUACUUUAAUGUACACUAUUUCAUAAAGGCGGAUACAACUGAUAAAGUGAAGUUCAAUCAAAUUUUCCCAGUUUCCUAUGUUCUCCUUGGUUACCAGGUCUUUUAAUUUGUCCUUUAGGCUCAUGGCUGGUAUGCUGCAAAAUAAAAAGUGUUUUUACAUUUAA
rnacentral:lncRNA from 1 species